GAGAGAGAGAGAGAGAGAGAGAGAGGAGAGAGGAACUUAGAGACUGCGGGGGGCAGGUUUCCCAGGAACAGAUUUUGAGAGUGCACCCGCCCGAGGAUGGCUGAUAGUCCCUCUCAGUCCGAGUCGCUGGCUUUGCCGGAGCUCAGUGAUGACUUCAAGAAACCAACCCUGCCGGUGCCCCCGGUUGUGCGGGGCAAAGCUCCGGCCACCAGUCCUUCGAACCCUGAGGAGGUGAAGAAGGAAAGGCCCACGGCGCUGCCAGAGCCCGACCCCGGGGAGCCCGACGUCCCGCCAGUCCAGCCCGACAGCGGGGACACCAGGAGUCCACCGACCGAGCAGCCGCGGCCCCCCUCAGCGGCUCCUUCAGCUGGCGGCCCGGCCCGGGCUCCCCCUUACCGGGAGCCGCGGUGGGGCGGCCCCGCCUCGGCCCCCUACAGCCUAGAGACGCUCAAGGGCGGCACCAUCCUUGGCACCCGUAGCUUGAAAGGGACGAGUUGCUGCCUCUUCGGGAGGCUGUCUAGCUGCGACGUGUGCCUGGAGCACCCUUCGGUGUCCCGGUACCACGCCGUGCUGCAGCACAGGGCGGCCGGCCUCGAAGGAGAAUGCGACGGCCAAGGGCCGGGCUUCUACCUUUACGAUCUGGGAAGCACCCACGGCACUUUUCUUAACAAAACCCGCAUCCCACCGCGCACCUAUCGUCGCGUCCACGUCGGGCACGUCCUUCGCUUUGGAGGCAGCACCCGGCUCUUUCUUCUUCAGGGACCAGAGGAAGACCGAGAGGCAGAAUCCGAGCUGACGGUAACGCAACUGAAGGAAUUGCGCAAGCAGCAGCAAAUGAUGUUGGAGAAGAAGAUGUUAGGAGAAGACUCGGAUGAGGAAGAAGUGGACACCACCGAAAGGAAGAGAAAUACUAGUAGUCAAGAUGAUGAAAUGGGCUGUACCUGGGGAAUGGGAGAAGAUGCUGUAGAAGAUGAGGCUGAAGAGAACCCCAUUGUGUUAGAGUUUCAGCAGGAAAGGGAGGCCUUUUAUAUAAAGGAUCCAAAAAAGGCUCUCCAAGGUUUUUUUGACCGAGAAGGAGAAGAAUUAGAAUAUGAAUUUGAUGAACAGGGGCAUAGCACUUGGCUCUGCAGGGUGAGAUUACCUGUGGAUGAUUCAACUGGAAAACAACUGGUAGCUGAGGCCAUUCAUUCAGGAAAGAAAAAAGAAGCAAUGAUCCAAUGUUCACUGGAAGCUUGUCGAAUCCUUGAUACUUUGGGAUUGCUGCGGCAGGAGGCAGUAUCUCGAAAAAGGAAAGCCAAGAACUGGGAGGAUGAAGACUUUUAUGAUAGUGAUGAUGACACAUUUCUUGAUCGGACUGGCCUUGUUGAAAAGAAGCGUCUGAACCGAAUGAAAAAGGCUGGGAAGAUUGAUGAGAAGCCAGAGACCUUUGAAUCACUGGUUGCAAAAUUAAAUGAUGCUGAAAAGGAACUCUCUGAAAUUUCUGAGAAACUGAAAGCCUCAAGCAAAGCUCUAUCAGAGUCACCAUCUCAGGACUCUUUAGAUGCAUUCAUGUCAGAAAUGAAAUCAGGGAGUGCAUUGGAUGGUGUGUCCCGGAAGAAACUUCACCUGAGAACUUUUGAACUUAGGAAAGAACAACAGAGACUUAAAGGGUUGAUAAAAAUUGUAAAACCAGCAGAGAUUCCAGAGCUGAAAAAGACUGAAAGUCAGACAGCAGAUGUGGAAAACAAAGCUAAAAAGCUUACAUUGCCUCUUUUUGGUGCCAUGAAAGGAGGAAGCAAAUUCAAAUUAAAAACGGGAACAGUAGGGAAGUUACCCCCCAAGCGUCCUGAACUCCCUGCAGCUCUGAUGAGAAUGAAGGAUGAGCCUGAAGUAGAAGAGGAGGAAGAAGAGGAGGAGGAAGAGGAGAAGGAAAAGGAGAGGGAUGAAAGGGGGGACAUGGAGACUGGAAGCAGUAGGCUGCAGCAGGAGACAGAGCUGGAAGAAGCAGUGCAGGACACAAGGCCUCCUACUGACCUCAUGUGUUCUAAAGAAACAAAAACCCAUGAAAACACGUCUCAACUCACCCAACUGGAACAGAUUAAAGAUUAUCAAGAGAUUAGUGAAACAGCUGCAUCAUGUGAGGAACCCUCAGCAUCAAAGAAUAAAUAUGAGAAAAACAGAGAUGAACCGAAGAAAAAAAAAGCUCCUGGUCCAGGCAAACUUCCAGCAACACUUUCCUCCAAAUAUCCAGAAGAUGACCCAGACUACUGUGUGUGGGUCCCACCUGAAGGCCAAAGUGGAGAUGGCAGGACCCAUCUGAAUGACAAGUAUGGCUAUUGACUGCUUCAGAAUCCUAGAGGAAGAUCUUGUGGACCAUGUGACAUAGGAUAUUUAGGGUACUAUAUCAAGUUGAAUAUCCAGAGAAGGAGUUCAGGCUACUCACUUUGCAAAUGCUCUCUUAGCCUGUGUUAUAGCCUCACCAGGUGUGGAAGAUGGGGGCCACAGUAGAAGAGAAGAUGGCAAAAUGGCUUGGUUACCCAGGGUGGUCAUCUGAAUGGUCACCUUAAGUCAUCUGAAUUCUUUCCUUAUCUGCAAAGUGUGAAUGAUAUCAUAAAGAAUCUCUCCCUUAGCCAGUGGUAAACAUGUCCCUCCAUUAUCCAUUGGUAAACAUAGAGGCAUCAGCUGAAACCCUGAGAGGUCUUGUUUUCCUGAGAGAGCCCACCAUGGUGAAAGGAGUCCCAAGGAUUGAGCCUUGGGGGGUGCCCCCAGCAGGGAAGGAAGGACUUGUAAAGGACACAGUGAAGGAGGAAUAGGUGGUCUCAGGGGAAGAAUAACCAGGAGCUUAAGGUCAGGAAAGCUAAUGAUGCAGAGGGUUCCAGAAAGGGGGCACCAGCAGUGUUAUCACUGGUGCUGUCAGAAGGAGGCCUCUCUAUCAAGAAAAUGCUUCCAGAAAACAAAUGAGUGAGGCUGGAAGCCAGCCUGCAGAAGUGGCAAGAAGGAAAUGGCUUCCAGUUCUCUUAUCCCCACUUCCCAAGACUGGGUAGUCCUUCCCCUUCUUCCAUUCUCCUCCUGGGUGCUGGCUCUGCCUGAGGAAAAAGCUGGUCGCCCCAGGUCUGCAGGCAUGGAAGACUCAGCUCCAAGCCUCAGGCCUGACCCAGCCCUCAUUACCCCCUCUGCAAGAGAACUGGAUCCUGCUGGGUCCUGCACUCACCCCACCCCUCUAUUCCAAAUAGCCUGAGAUGCUGCCUGGAAGGGGGUGACCAGCUAGAAUCCUUCUUCCCAGCCUGGCCUCCCUGGGCCCAGUGGCAAAUGAGCUUCCUUUAGCCAGGUCCAGAGUGUGUCUGCUCCAGGACCCCUCUGUGUCUUGGGCAUGUGUUUACUCUCUUUGGGUCUUUCCCCGGCCAAGUAGGUACCCCCAAGCCCCGUGCCUCUUCUGCUACAGUUUCCAGAAUGCCUCUCACCUGAGCACUUUUCCUGAGUGGAGAAAUAGGAUGAUCUUAAGACAGAGCAAAGUAUUAUAUAAACAUCUACAUAAAUGUAUAAUUUAUAAAUGGUAUAAUAUACAUAUGUCUAUAUGUUUUAUAUUUGGGGAUUGAGACUUUACCAUAGAGAUAAAAUUUUGUAUCCCUCCCCCACCUUUUUUUCACAGAAUGCCAAAUCAGAAUCAUUUUUCCAGGUCAUAGAAAACGUGUGAAGGCAUUUUAAUUAAGGCCAGGAGAGACCAGCAUGGAAAUCAGUGUGUAUUUGUAGGCAAAGGAGGAGGUGUGAGUGGAAAAAGAGGCUUAGAGAUGCAGGGUGAUAGGUCAGGCAAGAGCCCAAGUGGAGCCUGAGCUGGGAGAGAGGGCACCAGGGCAGUUAGAGCUGGAGGUGUCCUGGAUCAGGAGGUAGACUGCCCCUGCUUUCACUCUCACUCCUGAGCUUCGGGACCCCCUACAGACCGGCAGUGAGUCCACAUUCUUCAGCUUUGGUGGAUUUUCUGGUUGGAGAAUCAUGAGAAUUUAAAGUGUUGCCACUAAACAGAUCUAGUUGCUGACCAUUUGAAUCUUGGGCUGAAUUUGGCUUGGCUGAGUCUUCCAUAAGAAACCAAUGGGAGCUGGAGGUGUGCAUAUCUGGUUGAAACUAGAAACCCAAGCCAGGCAAUUUAUUAACUAAGCAGAUCCCAGGACACAUGUUCAAAUGCCUGUCCUUCACUCCCCAGUGCUCUGUCCCCUCAUCAGCCCUGUCAUCACUGAUCACCUCAUCAUCCCACAGCUGAGAUUCUGCACCAAUAAACACCUACCUCCACCUCCACCUUUUGCUAUGGUCAUUACCCAGCAUUUGAUGAGUAUCAUUCAUUCUGUCAACAAAUAUUUAUUGAGCAUCUACUGUGUGCCAGACACUAUAUUAUGCUGGUGUUACAAGACAUAUCCUUGUCCUUAAGAGGGUUGCAACUAAACAGAAACUAGCUCAAGGGACAAAAGGGAUCACCAAAACUUUGGCUGGGUAAUAGACCCCUCUCUGAACUGAUGACAGCUUUAUACACCUCCCCAGAAAAACAACAUGCUUGGAAAUUUGCCUACUGUUCAAGGUGGCAGAUUCCCUGGAAGCCCAUUUACCUUUUUUUAAAGAUUGUAUUUAUUUAUUCAUGAGAGACAGAGAGAGAGAGAGAGAGAGGCAGAGACACAGGCAGGGAGAGAAGCAGGCUCCAUGCAGGGAGCCCGAUGUGGGACUCAAUCUCGGGACCCCAAGAUCACGCCCUGGGUCGAAGGCAGACAGUCAACCGCUGAGCCACCCAGGCAUCCCCCAUUUAUGAUUUAAACAUCUUUGUUCCCCAAGUUGUAAAUGGUUUAUCUGAUUUAAACUUCUCAUUCUGGGGAUCCCUGGGUGGCGCAGCGGUUUAGCGCCUGCCUUUGGCCCAGGGCAUGAUCCUGGAGACCCGGGAUCGAAUCCCACAUCAGGCUCCCGGUGCAUGGAGCCUGCUUCUCCCUCUGCCUAUGUCUCUGCGCCUCUCUCUCUCUCUCUCCGUGACUAUCAUAAAUAAAUAAUUAAUUAAAAAAUUUCAACUUUCCUAAUUUAAAAAAUUUAAAUUGGCUGUAGAGUCCAUUCUUCAAAAAAAAUAAAAAUAAAAAAAAAUAAACUUCUCAUUCUGUAGAUGGGGAGACUCAGACCUAGAGAGAGAAAUUACUUGUCCAGGGUCAUGUGGUGGGUUAGGGACUGAGUCAGCCUUUGAUGCCCGGACCACUGGCUCCCCAAGCACUGCUCCACCAGGCUUCUUCUGCCUUCCCUGUUGGCUGGGAGAACCUGGCUGGAGAGGGGUCCCGGGCCAGUUCCCUUUUCAGCUGUCAAACCUGGGGCUGCCCAGCCUACAGGCCUCCUUUUCCACCACUUUACUGCCCCCUCAGGGAUGUAGGCCAGUGGUCAGGAGUCCCUUGAACAGUUGCUCUGACCCUGACUACCUGACUGGUUCCUCCCAGACGUCAGGGGAAAUGUUCUGCAGAGAACAGGAUGUGUUUUCCUGCAAAAUCAUUUGUCUCACAAGAUGAUUUGCAUACUGGUAGGGAUACAAAUGUCAUUCCCUGCCCAUUUCCUCCCUAGGGAGAAGUGUUCCCAUCACAGCUUUCCCCUUGAAGGACAAGCCCAACCCCAGCCCCAGUGGACAACUUCCUGCUGGAGGGAUUCAUACAUUAGCAAGUGCUCCCAGAAGUAAGGAGUCUCCUUUCUUGCCUUCUCCCUCACCCCACUAGGCUAGAGGGGGCUCUAGUCUCUAGUUUGACAGACGGUCUGCUCCUUGAUCCCCAGGACCCUAGGCAUCUACCUUGUUCUUUAGAACACUUUCUUGCAGAUAAAUUACUGAAAAUUCAGCUACUGGAAGGGAGGCUUGAGGUGAUGUUAGGUCAAAUAUAGUAACACAUACUUAGUGCUUAUUACACGCCAGACAUUGCUCUAAGCAACUUAACUGUAAAUUCAUGGGAUCUUCACAGCAACCUAAUGAGCUUGGUUCUAUUAUUUUUUUCCAUUGUCCAUAUGAGAAAUCAAAGUUCCAAGAGGUUAAAUAACUUGCCCAAGGUCACAAAGCUGGUGAGCAACACAACCAGAAUUUAAACACAGCCAAUCUGCCUCCUAAAUUGAGACUUUAAAUACUAUGUUAUAAGAGGGAGAAUUAGAAGGUUGAAGGUCUAUCUAACCCUGGAAGGCUGUGCUGUAGUCUAGAAGCACUGACAUGGAGUUAGGUUCUCCUAUGAUUUGAUAUCAGCUACCUGGCUAUCCCUCCCUGCCUUCUACCACUAUGAUCCACUGCCUAAACAGUCUGUGAACAUGCCCCAGCUGGUCCAUACAUAUUGUUUCCUCUACCCGGAUACCACUUCCUCAUUUCUGUCUGAAAUAUCUCUUUUUCUACUGAGAACCUCUAAAAAACCCCUCCAACAUCUGUAGACUGAGGUGGGUGGUCUCCUUAUUUUAUUAUUAUUUUUUUUUUUUAGAGUGGCUCUCAUCAUUUUGCCUUCCAAUUAUUGGCUAAGUCUCUUUUGCUCCUAGACUUCACUCCAAAGGGCUAGAUGUCUGUCAUUCAUUUCAGAAUCCUCAGCACUAAACCUAGCAAUUGAUAUGUGGUAAAUACUCAGCAGAUGUCUGUUAUGUAUAGUGAACAAAGUAUGUUACAAAAUAAUAUGCACAGGGGAUCCCUGGGUGGCUCGGUGGUUUGGCGCCUGCCUUCGGCCCAGGGCAUGAUCCUGGAGUCCCGGGAUUGGGCUCCCUGCAUGGAGCCUGCUUCUCCCUCUGCCUGUGUCUCUGCCUAUCUCUCUCUGUGUGUAUCUCUAAUGAAUAAAUAAAUAAAAUCUUAAAGAAUAUAUGCACAGUAUACUAAAUAUUGUAUUAUGUUUACUCUAAAUAUAUCACCACCCAGAUCAAUCCCAAAUGUUAACAAUGAUUUUCACAGAAUUUGGGGGUUACAGGUGGUUUUUAUUUUUUUGCAUGUCUGUAUUUUCCAAAAUUUCUGUACUGAUCAUGUAUUACCUUAAUAAUACAAAAG